rnacentral:rRNA from 1 species
GCUAGUAAUGGCAGGUCAGCAUACUGCCGUGAAUACGUUCCCGGGCCUUGUACACACCGCCCGUCACACCAUGAGAGUUGGGGAUACCCGAAGCCUGUGAGCCAACAGUUAAUGAGGCAGCAGUCGAAGGUAGAAUCAAUGAUUGGGGUGAAGUCGUAACAAGGUAAC